rnacentral:rRNA from 1 species
AUUGAACGCUGGCGGCAGGCCUAACACAUGCAAGUCGAGCGGAUGAAGGGAGCUUGCUCCUGGAUUCAGCGGCGGACGGAUGAGUAAUGCCUAGGAAUCUGCCUGGUAGUGGGGGAUAACGUCCGGAAACGGGCGCUAAUACCGCAUACGUCCUGAGGGAGAAAGUGGGGGAUCUUCGGACCUCACGCUAUCAGAUGAGCCUAGGUCGGAUUAGCUAGUUGGUGGGGUAAAGGCCCACCAAGGCGACGAUCCGUAACUGGUCUGAGAGGAUGAUCAGUCACACUGGAACUGAGACACGGUCCAGACUCCUACGGGAGGCAGCAGUGGGGAAUAUUGGACAAUGGGCGAAAGCCUGAUCCAGCCAUGCCGCGUGUGUGAAGAAGGCCUUCGGAUUGUAAAGCACUUUAAGUUGGGAGGAAGGGCAGUAAGUUAAUACCUUGCUGUUUUGACGUUACCAACAGAAUAAGCACCGGCUAACUUCGUG